UGCGUGUUCUAUAUCUAUAUCUGUAUCAGUGGUGUAUGAAGCAAUUUCACAAUAGGGGGGGGGGCUCGAGUUUUUUAAAUGGAAAAAGUACGCCUAUCAAUAGGUCGACAAGAUGCAUUGGAGUUGUGUAUAACUCUUCAGUCACUGUCUCACAUGAACAAAGCCAACAACGACACUAUACUACUCUAACACAGAAAUCUAUAGAGAGCUAACCACUAUAUAUAUAUAUGCAUUCACAAUUAAGGAUAUCCAUGCUCGAGGAAUCGUAUAUAUUAUAUAUAAUUAUAUAUAAUAUUAUAUGCAUGUUACUAUUUUGGAGGAUUAAGUCCACGAAAAGUGUUCGUUAAUAAGAAUUACCUGCUAUCAUGCAAAUAUUUAAAGGCGUGGCUUCCGGUAAGCAGUCAUUCCGCGAACAUUGUGCAACGAAAUGGCUUUUAGAGGCCAAUCCACGAAAUAUAAGUGCCUCGAAAAUUUCGCGCUAUACGGUAUAUGCAUGUUACUAUUUUGGAGGAUGAUAUUUAAUAAUGAGCUGAAUAUACAUGUAUAUAACCGGUUCCUCCACCCCCUCACGGACGGCAUCCAGAUAAAUUUACUUGGGAGGCCUCCCUCCCCGCACCAUGAAGGGGGAUAUAAGAAUUGCCCUCCAUUGUUUUGGAGGAACCAGCGUGAGUCAUUUUUAAGUGCAUGGUGGUUCGACAAAUUAACAUGUGCUUUACUUCUCUGUUGUGCAGUCGGUGGACAUCCCAUGGGCGAAGGGAAGGGAGGGACGCCUUCGUUCUCUACCCCACCUCCUGAGCAGCCACAAACAUCCCUGCAGGUUCAUCUGGUCCAUCAGCAGAAACCGUCCCAAAAAAUGCAUUUGGGCGGCCUUUAUCCAGGCGUGACUAUAUAGGAGAGGUUAAGGAGGCCCUCCUAAUCCUCCCUUGUUUCGGGGAAAGCAUUUGAAGAACUACAAGACAAACACAAAGACAGCUGGUUUCACGCCCGAGGAGAGACAGGACUUCACAGAGCUACUGGAGGAGAGUUUCGUGGACACCUUCCGUCACCUGUAUCCCGACCUCGCUGGAGCGUACACUUACCAGUUCAACACCAGAGCCAAGAACACUGGCUGGACACUUCUAAUUACCCCGGACUCUCUUUUGGGCAAUUUUCGUUGUUCUAAUACAACGGACACUCCAGUGCUUUAAUAUUACUAAAAUUAAUAUCCGGACAAUACUUUGAAAAGUUGAGUUACAUUCACAGACGGCAAGUAAGACUUAGAGUGCUGCAGUUAGAUAGCUAUAGUUUUAGAUAGCUAGUGCAACUAUUCAAUCGCACAGUGUUCUAUUAAACUUAGCUAUCUCGCAUGCAGCUGCUUGCUUGUUCUAAUUAUUCCGGACACUUCACAUGCUCUAUAAAAAUCUGUUCCAAUUAUACCCGGACAAUUUCCAAAAUAAUUAUUUUUUGCUGUCCGAUAAAUAAGGAGACUGGAUUAUUUCGUGGUGUCUGAGCGGCUCCUCCCUCAUGUAACGAUUCGUAAUGAGGUGUUUGGGAGCGACCGUUGCCCAUUGGUGAUUGGAUUGACAGACCACACCCACAAGAGAAUGACGAACCCUGAAUUGAUUGGCUAUCACUAGCUGCAUUUAGCCAUUAUACGACUAUCUAACAUAGAAUGCAAACAAAUAACAGUUAAUGUGAGCACUUUUACUUAAUAUGUUCUGGUGAUGACUACGUUUUUCAUCUUUCUCCCUCUAUUUUC